UCAAAGAAAGAUAUGUCAUUGUCUCU
rnacentral:piRNA from 1 species